rnacentral:rRNA from 1 species
UGGGGAAUAUUGGACAAUGGGCGAAAGCCUGAUCCAGCCAUGCCGCGUGUGUGAAGAAGGUCUUCGGAUUGUAAAGCACUUUAAGUUGGGAGGAAGGGCAGUUACCUAAUACGUGAUUGUUUUGACGUUACCGACAGAAUAAGCACCGGCUAACUCUGUGCCAGCAGCCGCGGUAAUACAGAGGGUGCAAGCGUUAAUCGGAAUUACUGGGCGUAAAGCGCGCGUAGGUGGUUAGUUAAGUUGGAUGUGAAAUCCCCGGGCUCAACCUGGGAACUGCAUUCAAAACUGACUGACUAGAGUAUGGUAGAGGGUGGUGGAAUUUCCUGUGUAGCGGUGAAAUGCGUAGAUAUAGGAAGGAACACCAGUGGCGAAGGCGACCACCUGGACUGAUACUGACACUGAGGUGCGAGAGCGUGGGGAGCAAACAGGAUUAGAUACCCUGGUAGUCCACGCCGUAAACGAUGUCAACUAGCCGUUGGGAGCCUUGAGCUCUUAGUGGCGCAGCUAACGCAUUAAGUUGACCGCCUGGGGAGUACGGCCGCAAGGUUAAAAC